GGCUGGUCUGAAGAUAGCAAGUUAUUUCAACUGAUGGCUCACAUUCAGUUACAGCUCCAACUCCUUGUUCUACUCUUCACCCCCCUUCUUGCUACUGUGUUUGACUCUUAA
rnacentral:Y_RNA from 1 species